rnacentral:rRNA from 1 species
CCUGGCGGCGAUAGCGCGGUGGUCCCACCUGACCCCAUGCCGAACUCAGAAGUGAAACGCCGUAGCGCCGAUGGUAGUGUGGGGUCUCCCCAUGCGAGAGUAGGGAACUGCCAGAC